rnacentral:lncRNA from 1 species
GGCGCCGGAGAUGGCGGCCUGGCGCAGGGCGGCGGUGGGGGAAGGAGAGAGGAGAAAGGGGCGGCAUCGGUGGGGAGGAGGAGGCUGGGGCGGUGCGGCGGCGCUCGGCGCUUGGCUCGGUGGCACGGAAGCCGGCGGUGGAGCAUGGGGGAGGGAAAGGUGGCCGGCUGCGACGGAGGCCGUCGGGGCGAAGGAGGUUGCGGCCGGCGUCGGCGACCUGGUGGCGGCGCCCAACACGGCGCGGCGGUGCCCCAGCGCCGAUGAAGACGACGAUGCGUGCCGUUGUUGUCCAUCUGGAGUGCCGCAUCAGGUAGGCCUCAACGUGCACUUGCAGUCUGCAGUUGGUGACUGGAGGACA